AUGAACGCUGGCGGCGUGCCUAAUACAUGCACGUCGAGCGAACAGACGAGGAGCUUGCUCCUCUGACGUUAGCGGCGGACGGGUGAGUAACACGUGGAUAACCUACCUAUAAGACUGGGAUAACUUCGGGAAACCGGAGCUAAUACCGGAUAAUAUAUUGAACCGCAUGGUUCAAUAGUGAAAGACGGUUUUGCUGUCACUUAUAGAUGGAUCCGCGCCGCAUUAGCUAGUUGGUAAGGUAACGGCUUACCAAGGCAACGAUGCGUAGCCGACCUGAGAGGGUGAUCGGCCACACUGGAACUGAGACGCGGUCCAGACUCCUACGGGAGGCAGCAGUAGGGAAUCUUCCGCAAUGGGCGAAAGCCUGACGGAGCAACGCCGCGUGAGUGAUGAAGGUCUUCGGAUCGUAAAACUCUGUUAUUAGGGAAGAACAAAUGUGUAAGUAACUAUGCACGUCUUGACGGUACCUAAUCAGAAAGCCACGGCUAACUACGUG
rnacentral:rRNA from 1 species